rnacentral:rRNA from 1 species
UACAGAGGUCUCAAGCGUUGUCCGGAUUUAUUGGGCGUAAAGAGCGUGUAGGCGGCCAGACAGGUCCGUUGUGAAAACUAGAGGCUUAACCUCUAGACGUCGAUGGAAACCGUCUGGCUAGAGUCCGGAAGAGGAGAAUGGAAUUCCUGGUGUAGCGGUGAAAUGCGCAGAUAUCAGGAAGAACACCCGUGGCUAAGGCGGUUCUCUAGUACGGUACUGACGCUGAGACGCGAAAGCGUGGGGAGCGAACAGG